UUCGUUUAAAUCGGUUAUUUUUUUACGGUUAUUUUGGUUGCGUCUUUUUAUCGCAAUUUUCGGUUUAAUCGGUUAUUUUUUUACGGUUAUGUCGUUUCCAAUAAAUACCAUUUGCACAUCUGAACGGUUGCGUCUUUUUAUUGCAACCUUUCGUUUAAAUAUUUAUGGUUGUUUUUCUUACAGUUAUUUUUGUACGGUCAUGUUGUUU
rnacentral:lncRNA from 1 species